rnacentral:lncRNA from 1 species
AUUACAGGCAUGAGCCACUGCGCCCGGCCAGAAACAGACAUUCUUAUUCCUACAGAGCCCGUCAUGACAACAGCUGCCCUGCAGCACCUCUUCCAGACAUCACAAUGGGAAACAGGAAAUACGCUGUCCCUCUCCAACCUCUGCCUUCAUCUCCCCUCCCCUUGUACAAGUUCCUUCACAGAAGUUCUUUCACAUAAAUUUUGUGCAAAUGGAUUCCUGUGGACUUCAACUCUGACAAGUCUGAAUCCCAGUGGAAAUGCAAGUUAGCCUCAAACUGAGAACCUCAUACUACAUUCAGAAUAUGUUUUCAUGUUUCCAAAAUGUCACCAACAAUGAGAUGACAGGAACCUGAACCAAAAGGAUGAGAGUAGAGAUGGAAAGUAAAUGUUGUUACAAAGGCUAAAUCAGAAAUUUGUCCCAGAUCUAGUAUGGAUCAUGAAGAAGAAGAUAGAAUGAAAGAACACUCUUACCAUUCUGAGUGCCGAAAGCAGGAGGUGGUUCCUAAAAAUAUGAAGUUUGGGUAUCCUAUACAAUGAGAGAAGAAUGUCUAUCUUCAUUAUGUUCAAGUACCCAGAUAAAUGAACCUGCUGUUAUAAGGGGGAGACAUGACAAGCUUUACGUGUUGAAAAUACAAAGAGCCUGACCCUACAGGAAUCUUUCUUUCUGGCCUUUUUCAUCGAAACAAGGAAAGACUCUAUCUUUUGGGGGACCAGCUUUGUCAGUGACACUUCUGCUGAAGACAAGAUGAAUGAUGCAGGCAAUGUUGAAUGCUACUGGAUAUCAAAACCUGAUAAUUUUUAGGGAUACAGAAAAGAAGAGAGAAGCUUGAACUGUUGAUUCAAGUCCUAUUGAGUGGUCACUAAAUUCACUCAUACUACAAGUUCAGAUACGCAGAGAAAAUACAAAUUCUUUAUUGUCUAUAGCUGAUUGCUUCCUGCCAGGUCUCUAGUCAUUGGUUAACAGGAAUAAACAAGUGUAUUACAUAGUUAGUCUUAGUCCUAUGCAGUAAUUUCUACAGUUCAUUUAGAUAGUAGCCUCUCAUUUGGAGAAAAACACAGUCUCUCAGGUAACCUUCCCCACCCUUGUCUCUCUUCCCAAGAUCUUGUUGAAACCAAGGGCUAAUCUUUUUAGUCACUUGCUUUUUGUUGAUUGUUUUUAACCCAUGUAGCUGAAAGCCACACUGCUAAACACUAUAACUUAACCUUCAUGAGCU